CCGACGGCCCUUUGCGCUCUCGUGUUCCCCCGCCUCCUGCGUUCCCGGAAACAGACUCCCAGGCGGCAGCUGCUCAUUCCGCACCGACGGAAAGGGCCGCGCCUGGAGUCGGGGUCCCAGAGCAUGAUGGGGAGGGGCCCCUGGGGAGUUUGGAGCAUCCUGGGGGAUGGAAGACACCAGAGCCGACUGACCUGUUGAGAGGACCAAGGGGAGGACCGAGGAGGAAUGGUGUUCCGUAUUUCUGUACAUGGAGGAGGACCCCCUAGCUGGAGCUGGAGCCCCCCAAGGGCUCACUUGUCCCCAGUGCCUCCAGGUCUUCAAGAGACACCUGCCCCUGAGGAGCCCCCAUGUCUGCCACUGAGCCUCCGGCUAUUGUCUGCAGCGACACCUUUGAGCUACGCAGCCAUCUUCUGGCAUCACUUUGUACACCGGCCUGGUAGGGUUGGGUUCACACCUGCCCACAGUGUGCCGGCAUUUGCAGGAGGCUGGGCAGCUUGCCCAGCACAGGUGGAAGGAAUUUCCUGGAUGGUGGGGAGGCCACAGGGGCUCCAUAGACUCUUGUUUCUUGUACAGAGGGUAGAGGCCUCAGGUUCCUCAUUCCUGAAAUAGAGAAUGUCUUGUGGUGACAGGCAGGAGAGUCCCCUUUGACCGCCACAGCCCCACUUUAUAGCCUUGGAUCAGUCACUGUCCCAUUCUGGAACUCAGUUUCCCAAUCUGAAAAACAGGGUACAGCCCACAUUCCAUAUCCAUUCAUCCAUGGGAUGAAUGAGACAUCAGUAUUACAAGUGAGCUACAAAUGUCACAUGCCGUACGAAAGAAGCGCAUACUGUUCCAUUUCUUCUUUAUAGCGACUCGUGCCUGCUGAGACAGGCUCAAUAAAUGUUUGUUAGUUUUGAUUCUUUUAUAAUUUCUGGGGUAGGAUUGGAACCCAAAUGAUGUAAAAACCUCUCUUUUGAGGAUGUAAGUUACUGGCCAGAGUGCUUUCCUAGGGGCACCUCCCUCUGUUCCAGAGGUCGGAGCCAUCCCGGAACUCAUCCCUGCAGCUACUUCUGGACCCAAAAGUUGGUUAUACCUAAGUAUGGAGACUGGGCUGGGACUCGAGGAAGUGGGUAGGUGCAGGACAGGUGGUAUUUUUAGAGUCCUAAUCAACGGAGCAAUGAGGGCCCUGGGUGAGACGUGAGGGACUUGGGGUGUGGGACGCAAUAGUCCCUGAGGCAGUGGGCCUCGGAGACUGAGAAGCCCUGUGAGGGAGGGUUGGGGAGACCUGGAACAUGGUACAGACAGGAGGGCAGGAAGCCCGAAGAACAGAUUAGUUGGACACAAGUUGACCUCAAAGCACAGGCUGGUAAUCUAGGGGCAUGUAAGAAGGGGAGAAGGGGUUGUUGGAUAGGAACAUGAAAUAACGGGAUGAACGGUGGAUGUUGAGAAGAGAGGAAAGGUUCUUGAAGGAGGCAGGGCUCAGAUUGCAGGUUGGGAGGGUUCAGGCAGCCCGAGGGAAGUGAGGGUGCUGGAGUGGGAGGCACCAGAUUUGAGUGCCGUCUCCAGGUCCCAGGGCUGGAGAUCCAAGGCAGUGAGUGGGUUGCCCAGCCCACGGGGUUGUUGAGAGGAGUAGGUGGGGCCCUUGUCCGAAGUUUGGAGGACAUGAGUAACCAAUAAGUUGUAGGUGAGGCUGGAAAGAGACAGCUGAAGGCUAUGGUGUUUGUUUGAUAGUGGAGGAGCUUGGGAUGGGGGUCCCAGUUAGCAUGAGAAGAGGUACAGGGUUUCAUAAUUUGAAGCGUGAACCGAGAAGUGAGACUGGCUCACUGUGGCUAUCUGGUGAGGCUGGAUGAGGGGCGGGAUAAGAAAGGGCUGGGGUGGAGGGUGAGAGGCCUCGAAUGCCAGGCUAAGGGGUUUUGACUGUAGGCGGAGCCUUGGGAGGGUCCCAAGCAGAGGCAGUGUUAGAUCCUUGUGGAGCUGGUGGACUGCUGAGCAUGGCAUACCAGAGGUGCCCAGCCAUCUUGGUAGGUGGGGCACAGAGGCUUCUGGAGGCAGAGAAGAAGCCUGGCAGCAGAGGAAGACGCAUGAGCCUUUGCACCCAGAGCCACACAAGUUCAAGGUCUAGUCAUAGGAGUGAGAGGUGAGGCAAAGUGGCUGGGCCACCUGAAAUGCCAGAUAGAGGAACUUGGGGACUUGGUCCUUAGGGGACCAGGGGCUGUGACAGGGUUUUGAAUGGUGCAGAAGUUUCAUCCACCACAGUUGUGAGAGAGUCUUGUUGGUUGGCAUGGGAGAGGAGCCAGGGAGAAGGCUGGUAGAGGAGCCCAGGUGAGCUGGGGCUUGGGGGACGUAGGGGAGCAUAUAGCUUUGAGAACAUUUCAGGGUGGGGGAGUGGACAGAACCUGAUGCCUGCCUGGCUUUGGGCAGUGAGGAAGUGUGUGUGUGUUGGGGGUGGGGACAUUUGAGGUUCCAAGCUUGUGUGCCUGGUACGGCUUCAUUCUGAUCAUGUCCUGGAAGAGAAGUGAAUUUUUUGGGGAGGAUGGUGGAAAUAAUGCUUCGCUCUUGGAUGGGGUGAUCAAAUUCAUUCAUUCAUUCAUUCACUCAUCAUGCAACCAAUAUUGAUUUGAACCUCUACCCUCUCCUGACACCUUUGCUAGAUCCUGAGGACAGAGCUGGGCCCUGCCUUUGUGGAGAUGGGGAAAGGCAGGUAGUGAAACAGCAAAUCAGUAAAUAAGCAAGACUGUAUUAGUGUCAACGUGGCACGUGAAGAAACGAACAGAUUCACAAGACAGAUCAGGGCAUCAUCUACUUGAUCUAUAACAUAACCAGCGAAGCCUCAGUGGUGACGUGUUGUUGGAGUUGAGACCUGAGUGGCCAGAAAGGUUCUGUCUUUGUGAAGGGCUGAAAGGAACAUUUCAGAGAGGGGAACAGCAAACACGAGGGCUCUGGGGAAUGGGAGGGGUUGGUGGGGCAGCACUCUGAUGAGUUUCCUCAUCUCCAAAGUCAGCAUCCUUGUGGCACCUACCUUGUGGGUCUGCUCUGAGGAUGUGGUGCAUUUCACAGUGGCUUGGCACCAUAGUGAGGGAUCAGUAAGUGUUGGUCAUUGUCAUUAUUUCUGGGGGUGGGGGUGGGUUUAUGGGUCUGAAACUCAAGGAGGUGAUCUGGGCGGGAGACUCAGACUGGGUAGUUGUCUGUAGGCUGGGGUAAAGUUAACCCUUGGGGGACAUCUGGCAAUGUCUGUUUUAACAACCGGGAGUGGGGAGGGAAGGUGCUACUCACAGCUGGAGGGUGGAGCCCAGGGAUGCUGCUCAACAUCCCAGAGCCCCCACUUCCCCCCCAGCAAAGUGUCAGUAGUGAGGAGGCUGAGAAACCACGAUGUGGACAGAAGGCGAACGUCACGUGUGUCACCCUUAACUCCUUCGUGCCUUCUCAGUUUACUAGUCUCCACUCUCCCCAUGAAAUCGCCGGACAGAAAGGACCUCAAGAAGGCUGCUGGGUAGAAACAGAACGUGCGCCACACUUAAACAAGUGAAAGGAGCUAGUGAGGCUGAGUGUAAUAACAUUCCCUAGGAAACCCAACAUGUCCAAAGUAGAAUCGGUUCAAAAUGUAAUCAGUACCAAAGUCAUUCAUGAGAUCGGUUACAUCUUUAUUUUCCUUUGAAGUCCUGGAAAUACGUCGGGAGCCCGUUUUGGCCCUUUAAGGUGGAUUACAGCAGUCCCAUAGGUAGGCAGCCACAAGUCACAUCUUAAAUCUAUUUAGAUUUAAACGAGGUAAUGUUUAAUAUCCUGGUCCUCAGCCGCACUAACCAUGUAUUAAGUGCGCAGUAGCGCCAUGUGGCCAGUUGCUGUCCCAUUGGACUGCGCGCGGAUCAUAAAACAUUUCCGUUAUCGCGAAAGUUCUUUUUGCCAGUUUCCUGGGACGCAGCUCUGAACGCCUCCGGGGUCCUGGAACUGCGCGCGGAAACAGGCCACUUAUCUCCCUUCCGAACUCCCAGCUGCUCUGCCAGCUGCCGGCGUCCCCCUCAGGCCCUGCCCCGAGGCGAUGGACUCCGCUGGCCCCUGCGCCGUUUGCAGCGCGCUCCCGGUCUUGCUGCUACCUGCUCAUGGACACACGUGACGUGCGCCUCGAGUUCACCGCGCAGCGAAAGGAAGAGCUGCAGGCGCCAGGCGUGCGGCUCCCGCGUUCAUCUGCAGCGACACUGCGAUCGCACUCUACGCUCAAGCUCUUCGCGCGCGCCGCCUGCGGCCGGGCCUUCGAGCGCCCCACUCCCCUGGCGCGGCCUCGGCUCACAACCACAGCAUGCCUGCCCACGUCGCUUUCCCGCCGCAGUUUCUCCCUCUAACCAACGCGCUUUGUGCCGGUUGCCAUCAAGAAUGGGUCGCUAAUGCUCCCUGGACCUCAGCUUCCCCACCUGCCCUAAGGGAAGGACCACGGUUCCCAUCUCUACCUGGCGACGUCUGGGCCUCGGUUUCCCCAUCUGCCCAGUGGGAAAGUGCCCCACCUCCCUAUCCGGCCUUCUCUGGGCCUUAGUUUCCCCACAUACUAGGCCAGAGAAUCCUGGCUGUGCCACAUCAGAACCAAUGGCUGGCUUCCGGACCCCAGUCUCCCUAUUUACCCCACCGACAGACACGUCUCUUCUCCCGCCCUGGGCACUGUUGGGCAGGGAACGCAGGUGGGACGACCCAGUGUAAGCAGAACAAACUGGGCGCACCCAUUCCUUUGUGAGACUCAGCUUAUAAAUCAAUCACUGUCACAGUGAUUGAACUGUUCCUGCCAGGGAUGUGAGGGGAGCGGGGUACGAGAGGCUGGCUUCUUCGUACCCGAACCCUUGCCCUCUGCCCCCGGGGGUGCUCAAUAAAGGAGGGCAAUGCAAG